rnacentral:rRNA from 1 species
GAUGAACGCUGGCGGCGUGCCUAAUACAUGCAAGUCGAGCGAACAGACGAGGAGCUUGCUCCUCUGACGUUAGCGGCGGACGGGUGAGUAACACGUGGAUAACCUACCUAUAAGACUGGGAUAACUUCGGGAAACCGGAGCUAAUACCGGAUAAUAUAUUGAACCGCAUGGUUCAAUAGUGAAAGACGGUUUUGCUGUCACUUAUAGAUGGAUCCGCGCCGCAUUAGCUAGUUGGUAAGGUAACGGCUUACCAAGGCAACGAUGCGUAGCCGACCUGAGAGGGUGAUCGGCCACACUGGAACUGAGACACGGUCCAGACUCCUACGGGAGGCAGCAGUAGGGAAUCGUCCGCAAUGGGCGAAAGCAUGACGGAGCAACGCCGCGUGAGGGAUGAAGGUCUUCGGAUCGUAAAACUCUGUUAUUAGGGAAGAACAAAUGUGUAAGUAACUAUGCACGUCUUGACGGUACCUAAUCAGAAAGCCACGGCUAACUACGUG